rnacentral:tRNA from 1 species
GGGUGUGUAGCUCAAUUGGUAGAGUGUCUGCCUUACAAGCAGAAUGCUAUGGGUUCAAGUCCUGUCACACUC